rnacentral:lncRNA from 1 species
GGUUGGUUCAGGUGAGCUCUAAAAGUCCCAAAGAUAAAAAGGUGCAGGUUUGGGGGGGAUCUCAGCAUACCUGUAUGACCCCUAGUCGGCAAAUGGCCACUUGGCUCUAUUUCAAAUCUGGACCCAGUGAGCCACUAAGGAUCUAUAUUGGAAGACUGGCCCUUCCAGGUUCACAUUUGUUCACAUCUACCUACCUACCUACCUACCUACUUACCUAUCUGUCUGUCUGUCUACGGUGUUUAUAAGUAUCAAGCAUGCCUGAAAAUAAGG